rnacentral:lncRNA from 1 species
GGAGUAGAUAAUGUCUACAAAGAACUUUAGGAGGGUACUUAUCAAACAAACAGGAACAAUUUGAAUCUAGCUCUGUGUAUCCGCUGAGGCAUGAUAUUUGGACAAUGUAGGUAAAGUGUUAUUGAAGAAUUGCUUGCUUUGUUAGAAGAAGUAUAUAAAAGGAACUUGCAAAUAAACUUCAGCAUGCAGUUGCAUUUGCUGCCUUGGCUCUGCAUCCCCUGUGUCCUG